rnacentral:rRNA from 1 species
GGAUGAACGCUGGCGGCGUGCCUAAUACAUGCAAGUCGAGCGAACUGAUUAGAAGCUUGCUUCUAUGACGUUAGCGGCGGACGGGUGAGUAACACGUGGGCAACCUGCCUGUAAGACUGGGAUAACUUCGGGAAACCGAAGCUAAUACCGGAUAGGAUCUUCUCCUUCAUGGGAGAUGAUUGAAAGAUGGUUUCGGCUAUCACUUACAGAUGGGCCCGCGGUGCAUUAGCUAGUUGGUGAGGUAACGGCUCACCAAGGCAACGAUGCAUAGCCGACCUGAGAGGGUGAUCGGCCACACUGGGACUGAGACACGGCCCAGACUCCUACGGGAGGCAGCAGUAGGGAAUCUUCCGCAAUGGACGAAAGUCUGACGGAGCAACGCCGCGUGAGUGAUGAAGGCUUUCGGGUCGU